GCUGGGUGCAGUGGCUCUCGCCUGUAAUCCCAGUGACUUGGGAGGCGGAGGCAGGAGAAUCACGAGUUCAAAGCCAGCCUCAGCAACUUAGCGAGGCCCUUAGCACCUCAGUGAGACCCCGUUUCAA
rnacentral:sRNA from 1 species